AUUGAACGCUGGCGGCAGGCCUAACACAUGCAAGUCGAACGAGUGGCGGACGGGUGAGUAAUGUCUGGGAAACUGCCCGAUGGAUGGGGAUAACUACUGGAAACGGUAGCUAAUACCGCAUACCAUCGGAUGUGCCCAGAUGGGAUUAGCUAGUAGGGGGGGUAACGGCUCACCUAGGCGACGAUCCCUAGCUGGUCUGCGAGGAUGACCGGCCACACUGGAACGGAGACACGGUCCAGACUCCUACGGGAGGCAGCAGUGGGGAAUAUUGCACAAUGGGCGAAAGCCUGAUGCAGCCAUCCCGCGUGUGUGAAGAAGGCCUUCGGGUUGUAAAGUACUUUCAGCGGGGAGGCGUUACUCGCAGAAGAAGCACCGGCUAACUCCGUGCCAGCAGCCGCGGUAAUUC
rnacentral:rRNA from 1 species